CGCGUAGGCGGGCGGCCAAGUCAGGGGUGAAAUCUUUCGGCCCAACCGGAAAGUGCCUUUGAUACUGGCGGCCUUGAGGGAGGUAGGGGCGUGCGGAACUUCCGGUGGAGCGGUGAAAUGCGUAGAUAUCGGAAGGAACACCGGUGGCGAAAGCGGCGCGCUGGACCUCUUCUGACGCUGAGGCGCGAAAGCCAGGGGAGCAAACGGGAUUAGAUACCCCGGUAGUCCUGGCCCUAAACGUUGGGUACUAGGUAGUGGACUUACAUGGGUUCACUGCCGAAGCAAAAGUGUUAAGUACCCCGCCUGGGGAGUAUGGUCGCAAGGCUGAA
rnacentral:rRNA from 1 species